AUUGAACGCUGGCGGAAUGCUUUACACAUGCAAGUCGAACGGCAGCACGGACUUCGGUCUGGUGGCGAGUGGCGAACGGGUGAGUAAUACAUCGGAACGUGCCCAGUCGUGGGGGAUAACAUAGCGAAAGCUACGCUAAUACCGCAUACGAUCUAAGGAUGAAAGCGGGGGAUCGCAAGACCUCGCGCGAUUGGAGCGGCCGAUGGCAGAUUAGGUAGUUGGUAGGGUAAAGGCCUACCAAGCCGACGAUCUGUAGCUGGUCUGAGAGGAUGAUCAGCCACACUGGGACUGAGACACGGCCCAGACUCCUACGGGAGGAAGCAGUGGGGAAUUUUGGACAAUGGGCGCAAGCCUGAUCCAGCCAUUCCGCGUGCAGGAUGAAGGCCUUCGGGUUGUAAACUGCUUUUGUACAGAACGAAAAGGCUCUGGUUAAUACCCGGGGCUCAUGACGGUACUGUAAGAAUAAGCACCGGCUAACUACGUGCCAGCCGCCGCCGUAA
rnacentral:rRNA from 1 species